ACGAACGCUGGCGGCGUGCUUCACACAUGCCAGUCGAACGGGAAGGCCUCAGCUUGCUGGGGUACUCGAGUGGCGAACGGGUGAGUAACACGUGGGUGAUCUGCCUUGCACUCUGGGAUAAGCUUGGGAAACUGGGUCUAAUACCGGAUAUGAACUGCCUUUAGUGUGGUGGUUGGAAAGUUUUUUCGGUGCAAGAUGAGCUCGCGGCCUAUCAGCUUGUUGGUGGGGUAAUGGCCUACCAAGGCGUCGACGGGUAGCCGGCCUGAGAGGGUGUACGGCCACAUUGGGACUGAGAUACGGCCCAGACUCCUACGGGAGGCAGCAGUGGGGAAUAUUGCACAAUGGGCGGAAGCCUGAUGCAGCGACGCCGCGUGGGGGAUGACGGCCUUCGGGUUGUAAACUCCUUUCGACAGGGACGAAGCUUUUUGUGACGGUACCUGUAUAAGAAGCACCGGCUAACUACGUG
rnacentral:rRNA from 1 species